GUCUAUGGCCAUGCUACCCUGAACAAGCCCAAUCCCAUCUGAUCUCAGAAGCUAAGCAGGGUCGGGCCUGGUUAGUACUUGGAUGGGAGACCACCUAGGAAGACCAGGUGCUGUAGAUG
rnacentral:rRNA from 1 species